UUAUUUGUAAAAUAAAUUUAUUAAAACACAAGUUUUAUUUUUCUUUUCAAAAGAAAAUUUAUCUUUUGAAAAUUGCAUGAUCCAACUGUAAAGAUAGUAGAGUCCAUAUUAGAACAAGAAAAUGAGUUUUUGUUAGUCCAUAUUUGUUCUCUUUGUUUGCUACUCCAACAACGCAUUUAUGUGGUCCUAGAAGAACUAACUUAAGUUCCAUGGCGCUUGAUUUUUAUACUUGCCUCCAUCAAGUCGAUGGAGUUAUGUUAUAUAUAUGUAGAGAGUAGUGACCAUCAUUAACACAUAGUUACAAUUACAAAUUGGUUACUUUCCUUUAGAAAUUGAGCUCUUUCGUUCUUAAGUUUAAGAGGUAUCCUCUUAUCCAAAAACAGGGGGAAUAAAAGCUAAGUAACUUCUACUGGUAUCACUCUUAAUGUCAAGUACAGUGAAGUGAUCGGACUAGACCCUAGCUACUUUCAAGUCCAAAAAUAGUUUUUUCAGACGAUUGUAUUAUCUCCUUGAUCAGAUUAACCUCGCUUAAAACAGUUCCACAGCUUCUCCAAUCCAAUCCCAUUGGAGCUUGAUAAACUCAUAGGGCUAGAAAGACUCAACCUCUUCACUUUCAGGCCAAAUUCCAACCAAGCUUCUUCCGCUAACCUUUUAAACUUAGGGAUGGACGGAUGACAACUUUCGUUUUUCAGUUUCAGAGACCCCUAGUUGAUAUAAUAAAUGAACACAAUAAAAUACAAUGGAUAAGCAUUUAAAUUAUGGAUUAAGCGUUCAAAAAUAAAAGGAGUUACAACAAAUCAUAUAUAUGAAAGUUGGUCAACUCUCUCCAUAUGAGUGAUACAUCAUCACACCAAUGAGUGCUACAUGUCAUUCUAAAUUAAUAUCAUUAAAAAUAAUAAAACUUAGUGAUAAAAAAAUAAAAGUUUUACAUUGCAUUGAAUCAUCCAUUAAUCCCACUCUUAACUAAAUAUCUUCAUCUAAAAGAAAAAAUAUAAAAAAUCAUGUUAAUGUAUUAAACACUACUUUCAUCUUACUUUUCUUAUUUUGCUAUUUUUAAUAGUAUUACUUGAUAACGACAAGAAAUUUUCGGGUAUUGCAAUUUAUUUGUUUGCUACUUAACUUUCUUAGUUUAGAAUAUUAACUUAAUUGUUUCUUAUUAUUACAUUUUUUGGUCUACAUGAUAUGGUUUUUUUGUGCUUUAUGAUAAAUGGGUAACAUUAAUAAUGACAUACAUGUUUUUUUAAGUAAUGGUAUUUUGAGAUGUUAUAUAUACUAAAAAAUUCAAUAUACGAUACUCUCUCCAAUAUAGUUAUAUGCAAAUGCAAAGAGAGAAACCUAAAAGUGUUGACUUAAAAUACUAUUUAAUUUUUGCUUCUUUUUUUUCUCUUUCAUAUGAAAACUUUUAAAGCAAAUGAGUAGUUAGUUAUACAUUUGUUAUUCAAAUUACGUAAAUUCAAUAUUUAGCUAUGAGCCUAUGAUUGGAAUACUAGAUUAGGAGAGAAUACAUAGAUUGAAUUUUUUGCUUAGAAUCAAUUUAGGCAACUUUCAAACCAAAUAAGUAAACAUAAUUGCAUACCAUUGUAUCAUAUAUUGUUGAUUUAAGUAUUUCAUGAUAGUGAAAAAAGAUUAUAAUCUUGGGUAUAUAGAGAAGAAGAUUUAUACAUGAAAAAAAUAUAAUUGAUAUUUGAAUCAAAAAUGAAUCUAACUAUACAAAUAUAAUUACAAAAAAUAAAUAUAACUUUAUUAACUACAUAAUAACAUACACAAAAAUAACAUAAAUUAACAAUAAAAAUAGUUAAACAUAAUUUUUCUUAAACAAUUUUUGAAACAAUAACCCACGCUACUAACCUAGUAGAAAUAAAACAACAGAAAUGAAUUACUAUAUAUGAACAUGAUAUCUUACAACAGAUAUAAUAAGUCGAAUCGUUUUAGUUAUCUUGAUCUGAAAUUUUACGAUGCCAUACAUUGUAAUAUAUGAUGUUUUCUGGUGAUGAAGAUACUUCGGAAAAAUAAUAGAGUGAGUGAAGAACCACAUGAACUUCUCGAAACUAAUCUUCAUUGAUCAGGUGGUCAAUUUCGAAUCAAACAACAAUGAAAGAAGAAAACAAUUGUAGUAUUUCUUGAUCACUAGUGGUCAAGGAAUAGUACUUUGUUUUUUUAUUGUUUCACGUUUCGAUAUAGACAAUGAUCAGCGAGGAUGUUCAUGUGACUUGAGACUUCACUCACUCUAUAUACUUGGUUCCCAAUAAUCUUCCUCACCGCAAAACACACAAAUUACCGCAUAUGGUAUCGUAAGAUUUCAGAACAAAAGAACUCAGGCGAUUCGACUUAUGUAUCUAUAUGUGUGGAUUGAAUUAUAACUUAACCCAUGCAACAAAUUAACAACGUUAACGAUCGGUUUAUAUGUUUGUCCCUUUCCAAAUAAAACAGUUAGAAACAAAAGAAAAGUAACCCAUUAUUAAUGAAUAAAGAUACAUAGGAAUUGCUCUCAUCAAAUCUUCGAGACAAAUCUAAAUGAUUGAGUGACAACAAUAAACUGAACCACUUACAUUGUUUUUGAUUGAAAGAGCAUGACAAAACCUUGGUGUCAAAAGUCCCUCAAGUUCAAGCAGAUCUCCAAGCGGCUUCAACGGGUUAGUUUCAAACAAAACCCGUGAUUCAGCUAACCUUAUAAAACAAAAAAUCAAACGAUUAAAUCGAAUCUGUACCGUUAAUUUCGCUACCCACAUAUCAACAGUUUAAUCCAUUACAGAAUUCUUUUAGUUUUUGUUUUCUUGCUUGAUCUAACAACUAAAUCAAUAAAAGUUAAAUGGUUUAAGACAAGUAUAUCAGAUCUUUGAUAGAAAAUUAAAUCUGGCUUGCCUGAAUUGGAUUCCUUCUUCUCUAACAUGUGCUAGUAAAAUGAGAUCUUCAUUCCACCAUCUCGCCUUCGGAUUCUCCUUUAUGGAUCUUCAACAUUGGGUCAGAGAAGUUUAGGCGGCUAUGUGAUGGCUAUAGAACUUGAUAUGUUAUGCUAUAUAUAUAUAUGUGUGUGUGUGUAUAGGUGUCGUAAAC
rnacentral:lncRNA from 1 species